GACGAACGCUGGCGGCGUGCUUAACACAUGCAAGUCGAACGGAAAGGCCCUGCUUGCAGGGUACUCGAGUGGCGAACGGGUGAGUAACACGUGGGUGAUCUGCCCUGCACUUCGGGAUAAGCUUGGGAAACUGGGUCUAAUACCGGAUAGGAGCCAUCUUUAGUGUGGUGGUUGGAAAGUUUUUUCGGUGUAGGAUGAGCUCGCGGCCUAUCAGCUUGUUGGUGGGGUAAUGGCCUACCAAGGCGGCGACGGGUAGCCGGCCUGAGAGGGUGUACGGCCACAUUGGGACUGAGAUACGGCCCAGACUCCGACGGGAGGCAGCAGUGGGGAAUAUUGCACAAUGGGCGCAAGCCUGAGGCAGCGACGCCGCGUGGGGGAUGAAGGCCUUCGGGUUGUAAACUCCUUUCGCUAGGGACGAAGCUUUUUUGUGACGGUACCUAGAGAAGAAGCACCGGCUAACUACGUG
rnacentral:rRNA from 1 species